GACUUCCCUCAAAGGCUGUAACAACCCGGCUGCCGCGGAUUUCGCUGCUGCCCUCCCAGUUGAAUUGAAAAGACAGGAUGAAGUGGACACAGCAUGUGAAGACAAUUCUUUCAAGAAGUUUGGCUGUCAAGGAAAACAGAGAAUGUAUUAUCAGCAGGGCGUGGUGGCUCACACCUAUAAUCCCAGCACUUUGGGAGGCCAAGGCAGCCAGAUCACCUAAGGUCAGGAGUUCAAGACCAGCCUAGCCAACAUGGUGAAACCCUGUCUCUACUAAAAAUAUAAAAAUUAGCUGAGUGUGGUGAUGGGCGCUUGUAAUCCCAGCUACUCAGGAGGCUGAGGCAGGAGAAUCACUUGAACCCAGGAAGCAGAGGUUGCAGUGAGCCGAGAUCGCACCUCUGCACUCCCACCUGGACAACAGAGCGAGACUCCAUCUAAUAAAUAAAUACAUAAAUAGGUAUUAUGGUGUAUAAUUCCUGAUUUUUCGGUUGCUCCACAUCCCUUUCAGGAAACCACCACUCACCAGCCUUAGCUGGUUCAAGUGAGGCUGAUUCCCAACUGCCCACACUGCCCCCAUUCCUACACUUGAUUCAGA
rnacentral:lncRNA from 10 species